GCACGGUAGUAUUUGCUUCCCACGUUUUAGGUUGCUCCUUUGUGUACCCUACUUAGGUGAAUACUUAUGACACUGUGAUUGGACAUUGAAAUGGAUUAUCAACCAGAAACAUUUUUUUCAAGUAUUUUAACCAAUAAUGAGUAUGAAAAAUGCCUAUUUUUAAAUCUAACUAUAGACAUAAAUUUUUGACAAUUUUUUAAAAAUAUUACAUUUACUGCGGCCAAAUAUGAUGUAAAUGACUGGUUCCCUUAGACUGGUGACAAUAGCUAAAAAAGUAAACGGUCAUGAUGGUGUUUCUCAUUUAUUUCUGAAUAUCUGAAUGAAAGUACUUCAAGUUACAGUAGGUUUUGGGUCUUGGGGAGUGUUAGAAAGUGAUGAAAAUCUGUAAAAUGUUACUAUUGUCGCCUAUGGCAGGGAAAUACUACCGUGCCACCUUAACCGAGAUACAUGUCUCCAAUGUUGUCAUGGUAAUUGCCGCUGUAUUCAAAUUCUUUUCUGUUUUUUUAUACAUGUAGCCUAAGUCAUUAAUUAUGGAAGCAUUCUUUGAAAACAUUUUACUUGAAUUAUGCAGAAAAAGCUCAAUUUUACCCCUCGGCAAUAAAUGCAUGCAGUGGAAUGGUGCCUGUUCUGAAGCUGGCUAUGGCCGAAAGAGAGUAACCUGGCCAGAUGGAAAAAAAACUGUUGAAAAGACUCAUAGACUUGUAUAUAUGGCAUACAAUAAAAUAUUACGUCCUCAUUUACAAAAUAAAAAUGAAUAUGGAGAACAAUUAGAUGUCAGUCAUCUAUGCAACAAUAAGAAAUGUAUCCUAAUUGAACAUCUUGUGCAUGAGCCUCAUUGUAUAAAUAUGAACAGAAAUGAAUGUUUUAAAAAUGGAAACUGUUCAAAACUGCACUAUCCGCACUGCAUGGUAUGAUACAAAAGGUAUUCCUAUGAUUUUUUAGCCUUUUUUGUGUACGCUUCAUGAUCACCUCUUGCUGUGUCGGCCAGUUUUUGUCGAAUAUUUUUUUGGCUCUCAAGUAGCAUACCCUUCUCAUAUUUAUUUACCUCCUGAUUUUUGGAGUAUAAAUCAAAUUUUGCUUUAGAUUUUUGUUUCCUUUUCUUCAUAUAUUUAGCUAAUUUUUUAUAUUGUUUGUGGUUCUCAUAUAUUUUUUGUUCUUGCUGUAGGUGUGUGUGUACUUUUGAUCCAGCUGUGACCGGUGCACCAACAGACAAGCAUAAAGCCAUCACGGAUUCACCCGGCCCAUGGUUUGCUGAAGAUACAGCGCCAAUCGCCCUGCCUUGGAAAUUUUUACUGAACGUAUUACUUCUAGAGUUGAAAACUGGAUUUCCGCAGCAUAUGGCUAGUCGUUUGAUUUCCCUCAGUUUUCAUGGAAUGGAUGUAAGAACAACUUAAGAUUUCUCAGACAGUUUCAGAAAUGAUUAUAGAUAGUGAAUAAAAGAUAUCUACAG